rnacentral:lncRNA from 1 species
GAGGGAGCUCGGGAGGGCUUUUGCUGAGGCCACUUGUUCUUCUUGCCAUAAAGAUGGUAUCUCACUUCAAGGCAACAAUGCACACAGAAGUUACGAGUGUGGAUACUAGAGUCACAGCCUGGAUUCCAAUGCUGCUUCUUAACAGCUGUGUGACUUUCCACAAGUAAUGUAACAUCUCUGGGUCUCUGUUUCCUGUUCUGCAAAAUGGGGAUACUAUCUACUUGCCCCAGGGACCUGCUGUGCUGAGGAUCAUUCCCAGGAAGCACCUAGCACCACGCUGGGUCCUGGCAAGCCACUGACAAAUGUUCACUGUCACAAAGGCCCUGCUUCCCCUGGUGCUCGGCACCAGGCUGACAUCGAGUACACGGUCAAUGAAGAAACAAGGAGACUCUGCAAGGAGAUACAUUAGGAUGAUGUACUGACAAACCCUUGGGAAAACUGCUGGUGGCUUUGUUGGGGGGAAGAUUUCCAGAUGGAGCUCCUCAGGAUGGCCUGCCAAUCCAAUAAACUCAGGUUCCUAGAAAGUCUCCCCCACCCCACCCCACCCCCACUCUGUAAGUCCCACCCAAACCAGGACAGCAGCAAUUCUCCCUUUCCCCUGGUGUGCCUUCCCCGGUGGUCUGUUUCUUUAGGACAGGAACGCAGCUGUCUGGAAGGCACCCAGGGAAGCCAUUCCUUGGGACAUGUCCCCUGACCCACCCCCGGCAAGGCUGGGAUGACAGAAGGACAAACCCAGCCAAACAUAUGGACCCGUGGCCCAGGAUAGGCAACAGCUGGGCCACUGCCUGACUUUUCUUGUGUUCCUUGGAAUAUUCUGGCAAUGAGAAGACAUAGUCUCAGCAACUUAUAGACAUUUUCCCAGGAAAUCCUAACCUCUAAGGGAACAAUUUGCUCCAUUCUCACACAUUUCAAUCUACUUAUUUGGAAGACCAAUCCUUGCGUGGGCACGCACGCACACACACACACCCUUCAUGUGGUCUUGUGUAUAAGUACACAAACCUGAUAAUAGCAACCACUAAUAUUUAGUAUGUGCUAAGUAAUAAAAGUAGCUACCAUAUUCAUCAUCUUAUAUAGUCCUCACAACAAGGACACAGGGGCUCUAUCCCCAUUUCACAGAUGAGGACACAGAGGUGGGCUGCCUUUCAGAGAGCAAGCUGCUAGUCAUGGUGGGGCUGGCAUCGGAGCCCAGGUCUAAGAACUCUGGUACCAGGAAUGCACUUGCUUUCCCGGAUUUGCCUCCUCCACCUGUGCUUAAGUAGUUAACCCUGUUGGAGAGGUUUUCUUUCCUUGGUUAUGUUUUCUAUUCUUUGGGUAAGUUUGACAAAGUAGGAUUCUUUUUCAUCGCCAGAGUCUGUCUCCCUGGAGGCUCAGGAAGGAACCGGAAGUUGCACUUUCUAACAUGGAUCGCCUGCUAAUUUUCCAAGGCAGCUCAGCCCCUGCCAGCGUCCCCUCCCUCCUUUGGGCUGAGGGCCCAGGAACCCAGCCUCAAAGUUCAGCUUGCUUCCUCCAGCACACACAUUUGGAAAUUGAAAUUUCCCACAUUUUCACCACACAAAAGCCAGGUUGGAUUUUUGUUCUCUUCAAAAUAUGCCAAAGGAAUUUUUCCUACCCCUUGAACUUUCUCCAAAAAUAAGUAGGAAAAGUCAAGACCAUUUUGCCCUGUAAGCUGAGAAUAGAAAAAUCAACAUGCAGGGUGCCAUUUCCAGGAUGUUACGAAACAGCGAACAUGGGAAUCCGUCUCAACACCAUUUGGCAACUUUGGGGAUACAGUAGAUGAUAUUUCUCACCCACAAACUCCUCACUGAGUUUAUAUUAACAUUUUGCUUUUUUUUUUUUUAAAGAAAAGA